UACGGGGGGGGGCAAGCGUUGUUCGGAAUUACUGGGCGUAAAGGGCUCGUAGGUGGCCAACUAAGUCAGACGUGAAAUCCCUCAGCUUAACUGGGGAACUGCGUCUGAUACUGGAUGGCUUGAGUUUGGGAGAGGGAUGCGGAAUUCCAGGUGUAGCGGUGAAAUGCGUAGAUAUCUGGAGGAAUACCGGUGGCGAAGGCGGCAUCCUGGACCGACAUUGACGCUGAGGAGCGAAAGCGUGGGGAGCAAACAGGG
rnacentral:rRNA from 1 species